rnacentral:rRNA from 1 species
AGUGAACGCUGGCGGUAGGCCUAACACAUGCAAGUCGAACGGCAGCACAGUAAGAGCUUGCUCUUACGGUUGGCGAGUGGCGGACGGGUGAGGAAUACAUCGGAUUCUACUUUUUCGUGGGGGAUAACGUAGGGAAACUUAUGCUAAUACCGCAUACGACCUACGGGUGAGAGCAGGGGAUCUUCGGACCUUUCGCGAUUGAAUGAGCCGAUGUCGGAUUAGCUAGUUGGCGAGGUAAAGGCCCACCAAGGCGACGAUCCGUAGCUGGUCUGAGAGGAUGAUCAGCCACACUGGAACUGAGACACGGUCCAGACUCCUACGGGAGGCAGCAGUGGGGAAUAUUGGACAAUGGGCGCAAGCCUGACCCAGCCAUGCCGCGUGAGUGAAGAAGGCCUUCGGGUCGUAAAGCCCUGUUGUUAGGAAAGAAAAGCAGCAGGUUAAUCCCCCGCUGUUCUGACGGUACCCAAAGAAUAAGCACCGGCUAACUUCGUG